rnacentral:tRNA from 1 species
GGUCCGGUAGCUCAGUGGAUAGAGCAACUGCCUUCUAAGCAGUGGGUCGUGGGUUCAAUUCCCCCCCGGACUACCA